GUUCGCGGCGGGGGCCACGCCUCUCUGGGGUGGGGAGGGGAAGGACCCCGCAGGGGACUUCGCGGCCCGAGGUCACGUUCUGAGCAGCUGACCUGCCAGCCGUUUCCCGGAGAGAGCCCUGCUCUGGAGGCGUGGGGUGGGGAGGGGGACAGGGCGAACGUGUCGCUUCCCCCGUGGCCCGCGGUCUCAUUUUCCACAUCUGCGAACGGGGGGGGGCCUCCGUGUCUUCUAACUCUAAAUGCGGCUUUUUUUCUGUGAUUCUGCUGACUUUGGGAAACAGAUAAUGUCUCUGCCUCUUCCACGCGCCUUCCCCGGGACCUCGGAGGGGACGCGGCUAUUUGGCUGGGUGCCUAGGUCUGCCCCAGGAAAGGCAGACCGCCUUGCCAUCUGUCUGUCGUGGUAGUUUGUGGGGUCUUCUGGGCAACGCAGAACACAUGCUGGAGGGGCCCGUGUUCGGGCUUGCUGGAAGUUCCCUGCUGUGUCUUGUGUUAAUGAUUACGUUCCUUUGACCUUUCACACAGCUGUUGUAGCUGAGGCAGAAAUGGGAUGUCCCACCUAACAGUUCAUUCAACAGUUGACCAACCCUCAGCCACCUCCUCUUGCCGGGUGCCUGGCCUCGGGAACCCGACACAGAAUCACUGGGCUCCCACGAGUGUGGCUUGGGUGCCCACCCGCUCUCCCCUGACCCGUUUACUGGCGUUGGUGAGGUUUGCUGUCACGGCGAUCACGGAGCAGGUAUCUUGAGAAAGUGCAGCUGUGUGUCCUGUGUGCCAGCUCUGGGGCCUGGGCUCUGAGCCUGGUGUCUUUGGUGGGGGAAUGGCGCUGUUUAAAAAAAAUGUUAGUCUAAGCAGGUGGGAGAGGUCUGGGAAGUUGCAGGUGGGCUGUGCAGGUGGGUGGGGCACACCUGCAACCUGUUGCAUUGUGGGUAGCUGACAGGCUUCCUAAGCAUGGCCCUUCCUCAGUGGUGACCCAGUAGGAAUGUCCGAGUUUGAGCUCGGGAGAGGGCGUCUGCUUUCAUAACUUACAACUAGACCUCUCUUUAUUCCAAAAUAAAAUGUUUAUUAACUCAAAAACACAAAGCGAGGCUUCUCCCCGGAGCGCAUUUCCUUUUGUGCUUGAAGGUCGCUGGACUUUAAGGGCCCGGGUCCAAGUUCAGCGUCGCUUACUUUCAAGGUGGUUGCUAAAAAUGGGAGUUGAGUCGAGGCUACUGGGGGAGUCGCUCUUCCUGAGUGCGGGGCUUGCUGCGUUCCAGCCCUUUCUCCAGCGCCCAGGCUGCCACUGCGUGAGGUCGGGUUCCGGUCUGUUCUUUGUCCGCCGUGCACGCUUUCACUCUGCGGAGUUUGUUUACAGUCACAGGCGACCUAGAAGAAGUCCUGCCUGGGUCUAAAGGUUUCUGGUGUGGACUUUCUGGAUUCAGGGUCCAGUCCACACGGGAAAUGGGCUGGGAGCGUCCACUGUGAAGCUGCUCCCCCUGAGCAGUAAACAGUGACUCACCCUCCCUCCCCCCCAACCCCCCCACGUUCUCUGCAAUGGGAGAUGCAUCGCUCCGCUAUUUACUUUUGCUUUUUAUAAGUCACGGGCUCGUCGUGUUUCCUCUUUCUUACAGUUUCAGGAAACUGAAAGUGUCACCUUAAAGUCAUAGGGUUUCGGAGCAGGUAGAAGUGAACCUAGGUUGGCACACAGUCCACACACACACACACCCCCGCCCCCAUCUUAGAUGAGGAAACCAAGUCCCGAGGGUUCUCGCCUGGCCUGCGGUGGCAGAGCCCCGGGUCCAGGGUCCAGUGGGGCACCCUGCCUGAUGUCUGGGCGUCCUGGGCAAGGGGUGGCACAGAGGUGUGGGGUAGAAGGUGUCCCCUAGGCUCCCUCCCUUCAGUGCAGUGCUGACACACCUGUUUGUGCGGCCCCUGUCACCUGCCAGGAGUUGGGGGAGCGGGUGUAGGUCAGAGUGCCCCCUGCUCUCCGCCCAGUGAGGGAGGCAGGGCUCCAACAGAAAGACCAGGCGCCCACCCAUUACAAGGAGGGCAGGAAUGGGGCUUUCUGGUGAAGCGAGGGCUGGAGAGGGGAGGGCAGGGGUGACGGGAGAAGGGUGCGAAGCCAGUGCAGAUUGCGGGGGGGGGGGGGGGGGGCUGCUGUCAGAAGCCAGAGGUGGAGGCCUGGAAUGGCGACAGGUGGCCAAGGGAAUGGGCAGCUUGGGAGGGACUCUGAGCCAGUGGGUCCCUCCGCCUGCCUGGGGGGCUGCAUUUGAGGGACUGAGGCAGGAGUCCUGAUGAGAAGCGGGGGGCCAGAGCAUCUGCAGGAAGACUCGGUUGAGGCCAGCAGGCUGGGGUCAGCGAGCGGCCGUGGAGGGAGAGGUGAGGCCUGGGGGGUGAUGUCUGCGUGAAUGCCAUGGUGGGUCGUCUGAGCUGGAGACACGGGAGGGCAGCUGCGGGAGACGCGUGUGUCUCGGGCCUGUCGGUUUUUCCAGGGAGCAUCCUGGCUACACGUGGAGGUUGAGGCUGACUGGAGCCCUGGGCAGCAUGAGAUGGCUGGGGAGAGAACAGAACUCUGAAGGGGAGCCUGGAGGCGGAGGGACCACCCGGAGGGGUGCAAGGGGAGCAGGGACUGGCCUGAAGCUGGGGCUGUAGGAGCGAAGGGCCAGUGGGAGCGAGGGGCCAGCGGGAGCGAGGGGCCAGCGGGAGCGAGGGGCCAGCGCACGGUGGGGGGUGUGGCAUUCAGCCUGCUGUCAGCCCGGCAGCCGCCUGAGUCACCUCCGGAUGGAGCCAGGAUGACACAGCUUCCUCGAACCGCAAACACAAGGUGACCAGACGUCCCCCAAGCCGGGCAGACAGUCUUGUCUUGCCGGAGGGCAGCCAGCCAGGGCCAGCCUGCAGGCUGGGUGUGGGCCGGGCUGGUGGGGUGCACAGCGAGGUGCUGCGGGACACCCCCCACGUUGAGGGGAGCUGGGGUGUGACAUCAGCAGAACCCUGUGUCCGGAGGCGGGCAGGGUGGUCUGGAGGUGGUCCCAAGCCCUCCUGGUCCUGGGGCCUGUGUUCAGCCGGUGAGGCAACAGGUCACUGUGGACGAGUCAGCGUUUGCUUGUUUGUCAGGAGCCCGCUGUGUGGGUCAACCCCGCCGUGCAGCCAGCCGGAGGGGCGCUCAGCUUUGGUCACCUGUGAGAGGCCCGCAGCCCUGCAGAGCAGAGUCGGCCACAUCUGGGUGGCUUCUGGCUUCAGGGUUUGCACCUGUCAGGUGAAGCGGUUGCUGCUCUGCGGCCUGGAGUGGGAACCUGCUCCUCCAAGACGGAACCCCUCGGCUCCCCUCCUCCCUCUUCCCCACCCUGACAGCCUUGGGGACCUGGGAGGAUGGCAGUGGGAGGGGUACCCCACGCCUAGCAGUUGCUGGGAGGCUCCGGAGCGGCCGCCUCCGCUCUCUGCCCGCUGGAACAGGUGCCAGAGGUUCAGCUUCCUGCCCGCAUGCAGCUCACAGGCCAGAUGAGUGGGUGGGCCAGUCGUUAAGUCAGCAUUGGAGCCCUUUGAAACUCAAAAUCUUUUCUCCUACAUGAUGGCAACCUAGGAGAUUAUCCUUGGGUGGGGCCCUGGCUCCCAUCAGCUGCCUGGGCCUGGUGUUAUUGGUGGAGAAACCCCCAACCCGGGCCCAGCCCAGAGAGGGCCGGAGUGUGCUGGGGACGGCCAGGGCUGUGAGUUUCCCACACGAGCUAGUGCCAAGCAGUAGGCGUUUGCUGGGAGUUGGAAAGUAAAAAGGAACCCGAAGGCACCCGAGAUCCUGGCCUUGGACGCACCUGCUUCUGGAAGGCAGUGGUGGAUGGUGGAACCUGGGCCACCUGCCCCGCCCUCCCGGAGCGCAGGGCCGCGAUGCCCAGCUCCCCUGGGCAGAGUCGCCCUGCCCUGUUCUUUACGGGCCGGAAGGGGCGGGGCGCCCCGGGCUCCCUAAUUUAUUCCAAACUGUGCGGUCACUGGAGCUGACUCCAUCUGAGCUGCUCGGGUGUUUCCUCUGCUUUUAAAGGAAAUUAUCCUUCCUUGUUCACCUUGUUUAGAUGUACGUCAGAAUGAAGUUUCUGGCUUUGGGUUGAAAACCAGCCUCUUCAGUUAGAAAAAUAGUCGCCCGAAAGGUGUUCCACGUUCUAAGUGCUGACUGCGCCCGCUCCUGACCAGCGGCCCCCUCUGGGCUGAAGGGGACGCGCGUGGUCACUCCCACUUGGAUGGGCAAGUGGGUGCACGCAGCGGACGUGCAGACACACCGUUCCAGACGCAGCCUGGCACGGGCCGCUGAGCUGCUCGGGUGACUGGAGUGGCAUCAGAAAGCCCCUGGGAGCGCGGGCUCUCUGCACACGGCAUCGCUAAGACUUGUCGGUCCGUGGACGUGGGACAGCCCAGCUGGAGCAUCCUCGUGGGCAGCUGUUGGAGAGGCGUUUUUGGCGCUGACGGUUGCUGAUGCGGUAAUGUGGCGUUAGACCCUUGACAGGAGGGGAGGCCAGCUUCUGGGGCGCGCGCCUGGCCCCACCGCGCCAGGCUGCAGUGUGUAACCCCGGCUGGGUUCCGGCCGGCUCAGAAGACAGUUCUUCCUGUGUGUGCUCUGGUGCCCGUGGAGGUUGCCUGAGGUUCCGUGGCUUACAAAUACCCAUUUUAGGACAGUUGUUUUAAAAUCACUUGUUUCACUGACUCUUUUUCACUCAUCCGAAACUCUCCUCUGAACCUCGCUCCUCUGAACCAAAAGCAGGUUGUCCUUUUUCUAAUGUUUGGAGUGUCUUUAGGUCGAUAGCACAUGUGUUUUGUGUAUUUUGGGUAGAGGUAAGGGACAGUGCAGCUCUUCUCUGUGUACUGAGUUCCCAAGAGAAGGGCUCUCUGCCCCUGGACCUGGAGCCUGUGGCUGUGCGAUGAGGUUCUCGCGGGGCAGGCCGCUGGGGCGCAGACGGGGCGGGUGGGCAGCGCGUCUCUCCAGCAGUUGGUGAAAACUUCCCAGGAAAGCGGGUCCCUGAAGGGGCCGAGGCAGUGGGGGUCCUGCUUAUGAGCACAGAGCUGUGCAAUGGUGUCCUGCCUGGGGUUUCCCAGCCUCCCCCCGUCUCUGGUUCCUCAGGGGGCCUCUGGUACAGACCCUGAAGUCUGGGGGUUGAGAAUGGAGCCCCCAGCCAGGGUCUCUCUCCUAGCGUCACCCAUUGGACCCAGCCGAGAACCUUUGGGAGCUGGACAAGACCCUGGGGCCCCAUUUCUGAUCCCCUCAUUUUUCAGGAGAGGAGAUUAAGACCCACAGAGAGAAGAGGGUUUACUGAAUUACUCCCCAACUUUGUCUCGAGACCAGGGCAGCCGUCACCUCGGCACGUUCGCUCCUCUAGUCCUCCUGUCACUCUCUUUGGAGAGAAGGUCUGAGAACUAGGGACAGUUCCCUGAGGUCGGACCCCACCAUGGUGCCCUCUCUUAGAGAGAGGCGUCCUCCUCGCUCAGACCCCAGGCGGGACCCCAGGGCUGCUCUCCCGUCUCUGCUGAGGCUCCUUGCCCAUGGUGGUGGGCCCCCAUUAGUCCAGGGGCGCAGGCGAGAUGGGCUCAGAGCCCAUGAACACGGGGCUAUGCCCGGGCAACCUUCACCUCGCUGAUGUGGGCGAUAGACCCUUAUGUGCAGGGGAGGAGGCCAAGCUCGCCGAGCGCUGCGGCCCAGGCCUGUGCGCGUCCUGGUCACCUAGGUGUCCCGCCACGUGAUUCCUGGUGGUCAGGUCCCCGGGGGGCAUCCCUGCCCUGAACACGGCCCAUGACCUGGCUGAGCUGGCAUGUCACCAUCCCCGGGGGGGGGGGGGGCCACAGAACGCCUGUGGGGUGUGGUGGGGGGUCUGAGCAGGCCCCUCCUUGGCUGGGGCCUUCCUUUUCCCAUCGGGUCCUGGCAGGGUGGGAGGGGCCUCGGGGCUGUGGGAAUGUGAGCUCCCAGCUCUGUAAACAGCUGGUGACUCACCGCACAGCUAUGCCCUGGCGGCUCCGGGCCCUUGUGUGCUGACGUGCUUGGGAGUGUGAGCUGGAACGGUCCCCGCCGGCCACCCGCCCGCCAUGGAGAAGUUUCUCAGGCUCUCCCAGCCGCCGGGCUCCCGCCAGGCUCCUGGAGACUCCUUCAGCCUGGCUUUGACCCCCGCACCUGCAGGGAGGGGCGGGCCUGUGGGGUGCUCGUUGGUGCCCCCAGAUGCCAGGGCAUCAAGCCACUGUCAGGAAGCGGCUCUUAGCUCCCUGCUAGGGUUGCCUCAGCCUGCUGCGUGUCUGGCUCGGGCACCCGUGUGAAACCUUGCGAGGGGUGCCGAGGAGUGCGGGCCCCCGGAGGCCAUACCCGGCUCGGCCCCGCUGCCGUCCUGCUCUCCACCGCCAUCAUUAGUACCUGGGAGAGCAGCCACGAUGCAAGGGGCAGUCGGCGUCUGCAGGCCUGGGUGCCGGCCCCUCUGUCGUGUUGGCAGCCUCUGGGGUGAGGGGCGGGCGGGCCCUUGGCGGCAGGGCCAAUGGGUGGAGGCCCAGGCCAUGCUGCAGUGAGGGUCCCAGGACUGUGGGCGUUGUGGAGCCCAUCCCCCUGAGUCUCGCUCCCCCCAGAUGGAGGCUUUGAUGCGGCUCCGUCUCUGGGGCCCCAUUUCCCCUCCUUGGGCGCGUUUCUCUGACGGUCUCUCUGCUCAGUUCACUUCACGUGGCGUUUGGAACCUGGGGAGCGGACCCUGAUCCCGUAAGCUGGCGUCAGUGUGCCAGGUGCCUGUUCCCCUCCUGCCCCCCUGGCUGCCAGGGCACCAAGGGUUUGUUUACUGUCCCGCAACCUGCCGUGUCUGCACCGCCAGCCCGAAGCCAUUGUUGCUGUGGGCUUCUCUGUUUCCAUGGCGACCAUCAGGGGUUGGCUACUUCCCAAGGUCACCAUGGCAACUAUCAGAGGGGAAUCAUGCUUGGGAUGCUUUGGCUGGCUUUUUCAUGAAUGAUUAGAAUGUGUGACACAAUGCAGACGCGAAAAUGAGAAGGGCGGGCGUAGGGGGGCUGGCGGGCGGCGGGGACGACUCCCGCCAGACAGUCCAUGAGCGCGUGAGGUGGUGGCUCCCACCUCCCGGGUCCGGGCUGGCUGGCGUGGGGAGCCUCUGGCCACCGUCUGGGCCUCAGGUCAUGGCUGUGGGGCAGUCUAGGUGGCGGCGGUGAUGUCACAGCUGCAGUGCCCUUCGCGGAGGUGCGAACGUCGGAGCUCAGAGUGGGAGUCAGAACAGGAAGCAACAGCUGCUCACACCUGGCCUCACCCCAAGGCGCUGGUGCUCACAGCACAGGCCCGGCGGGCAGCGCGGGACGGCCGUGUGGCUACCGGGCACUGGGACAAGGUGGGUCUGGGCGGCUCCCUGGGCUGAUGCUGGAGUGGGGGGCGCGGCCGAGCAGAGGCUCAGGCCCGGCCAGGGUGCCCCCCUGGGGAGCUCUCAGGCCAGGCUGGGCUCCUCCUUGCUUUUGUGGGGCUGACUGGAUGGCACAGUGCGAGGAGCUGAGCCUCCUCGGAGCGUCUCUGCAGUGGGACAUCCCUGCUUCAGGUCACUUGUCACGGCAGCGCAGCCAGGACCUAACCACGUGCGUUUCUGUUCUGUGAUCCUGCAGUGAUUUUCCGCAGUUCUGUCCGGGUGCCUGUCCCAGGUUAUGACGACUAACCCCAAACCGAACAAGGCGUUAAAGGUAAGGGGCCACCCCGUCUCCACCGCGCAGCCCCCUGUCCCAGGACUGCCCGGACCGUGAGGGAGGAAGGCCUGUCACCUGGAAGAGGGCGGGAGGAGGUGUCCCCGAGAGAUGUCGACAGAAUCGAGGGUUGCAGCCUUCGGAGACGCAGGCUUACGUCCAAGGACAUAACUCCUGGGUGGAGGGGGCGGGAGGGAUGGUGCCUCCUGGCCAGGAUGUGCUCAUCGCCCCGGCACCCUGGCGUGGGCAGUGCGGCCUCUGGUCCCGCCAGGCCCCGGGCAGGGCACGUGUGAACGGUGCUGCUCCAGCUCCCCGGGCCUGGCUCCGGCUGCCCGCCUCCUGGGGCUCUCAGCUUUGGAGGCCAGCGUGUGCCCUUGGGCCGGCCGUCUCCUGGCUCGGGAGCAGAGCUGGGUCCCGCUGGAGCGGGGACUCUCGGUAUUUGUGGGCUGUGCCUCUCCAAGCCCCUCCUGAGGCCCUGCAGGUGGAUGUGGCCGUGUCCCGCCAGGCCCUGGCUGGGCCUCCUGGGUCCGAGGGUGCGGAACAGUAGGCUGCCUCGCCUUCCCCUCGCUCCCCUGCCCGUGUCAGUCGUGCACCAGGCGCUGGAGACCCACAGAGGGCAGCACGCGUGCAGGCUGCGGCCUCGCAGAGUUUGGGUGGCAGACAGUAACUGGGUAAUGGCAGGUGGGGCCAACGGCCCCCAUCGGGGACCGUCCUGCCUUACAUCCUGUGCACAAUGUUGAGUGACCCCACAGUGACCGUCCCCAUUCCCUGAUGGAGUGAAGGCCAGCCUGCGAUGCAGGGGGGCCCUGCCAGGAGCCGGGCUCGUCCACGGCAACGUUCCAAGUGGUCCUCUGGGGUCCCUGCAGCGAGGCCUCCCUCGCCCCGGUCCUGACCCCGUGCUGUGGCCCCGCAGGUCAAGAAGGAGGCGGGCGAGAACGCCCCAGUGCUCAGCGACGAUGAGCUGGUGUCCAUGUCGGUGCGGGAGCUGAACCAGCACCUGCGGGGCCUCACCAAGGAGGAGGUGGUCCGUCUGAAGCAGCGCCGGCGCACGCUCAAGAACCGCGGCUACGCCGCCAGCUGCCGCAUCAAGCGGGUGACGCAGAAGGAGGAGCUGGAGCGGCAGCGCGUGGAGCUGCAGCAGGAGGUGGAGAAGCUGGCGCGUGAGAACAGCAGCAUGAAGCUGGAGCUGGACGCCCUGCGCUCCAAGUACGAGGCCCUGCAGACCUUUGCCCGCACCGUGGCGCGCGGGCCCAUCACGCCCACCAAGGUGGCCACCACCAGCGUCAUCACCAUCGUCAAGUCCGCUGAGAUCUCCAGCUCCGUGCCCUUCUCGGCCGCCUCCUAGUGCCGGCCCCGGUUGGGCGAGGGGGCCGGCGGUGGGGCCAGAGGGGCUGUCCCUCGUGCUUGUUGGAGGGUCCCAUGGGGAGCAGACCCCUGAAACCCCGAGUCCAAGCACAGGCUCCCGUGGGGCUCCUGGCGGGGCGAGGUCACAGGGGCCUGAUGAAGAGUUAGGGGCCUGUGAGCCCGUGUGCCGCACGCCUGCCCACACGCCCACACACACGCACAUGCACACACACGCACCUCGCCUUCCUCUGGGCCCUGCCAGCUCUCUGCGGACUGUCUCUCUUCCGGAGCCUGUGUCCUGUGCCGGGGGAGUUGGGAUGUCUGCAGGGAGGGCCCUCAGCAGGUCCCUGGCCCUGUGGCCUGGGUGGCAAGGGCUCCGUCUUCCACCCCUCCCACCAGCAGCCUGUCAACACACGUCAGCGUGCCUGUCCCCCUGCCACCUCAGAAGAGCACCUGCAGCACCAGGGGCCUGGGAGGAGUGGCUGGUUGCAAGUGGUCCUGGGGGGGCCUGUGGGUGCAGGUGCAUGAGUGUUGUGAGUUUUCUCUCUGUGUCGGGGUGGCCGGAAGGAGGUCCCUAUUGAGGAGCAGUGGCAGCCUGGCCUGGGGACCCAGCCCCCACUGCGGCCGCCUCGCAGAGCCCGGGAAGGUGGUGCCCAGCAUGGGAAGGGGGCGAUGGGCCUUGGGGGCUGGGAGGUGGGUGGGGAGCAGGUUCUGUGCGGAACGGCGGGCUGUCAGCGAGGCCUCCGGAGCGGCCAUGGAGCUGGGGGGCGCCCGGCUGCCUGUGGCUCCCACUGCUGGAGGAGGUGAGAGAGCAGGGGGCUGGGUGGGAUCAGAAGACGAGGCGGGCUUGAAUGGGGCAGAGGAGGUGAUGGUGGGCGAGGUGGCAGGCUCUGGGCCAGGAAGUCCACACGGACCGGACGGGCCUCCCGGAAGCACCUGGAUGGUGUGUCAGCACAGAGGAGACGAGGGGACUCUGCGAGCCUGGUGCUGAGUUCCCUGGAACCUUCACCUGCCCUUUCUGGGGCAGGUGACCUUUGCUGGGGCUUCCCUUCCUUGAGAGCCACCGCGGGGGCUCCCUGUGUGGGCUGGGCAUGGACGGCCACUUCUACCCCUCCUGGGAGGAUGCUGGGGCCACGGCCCUGGGUCUGAGUGAGCUGCUGAGCCCCAUCACUGGCCAGAAGCCGCUGGGCUCCAGCUCCCGGUUUCCUCUUGUGCCCUGCCACCCAGGGAGACCCCCAGCAAGCAGGUGUCAGCCAUGCCAGGGUUGGGGGAGGACUGACAGCCCCAAGGGCUGCGUCCAGCUUCUGUGUCUGCUGGCAGGAGCAGACAGGGCACCUGGGCCUCUCCAGCAGCAUUGCCACAUGGCCUUGUCCCUGUCCUGGGAGAAGGCGGAGGGUCUGGGGCGCUGGAUCCUUACACAACCUGGUGUGUAACAGAAAGGCCCGGUGUGUAAGCAAAAGCUGUUGAUCGCAUAGCCAUGGUAGGUAAUCCACAUUGGAUGUCAAUAAGGACCAUGGGGAAAUAUUUAAAAAAGAGAGAAAAGUAUAUAUAUAUAUAUAUAAAAUUAUAUACACAUUUUAUCGUACAGACUUUUCGUAACUCUUUUCCUGUUGGGUACUGUCAGCCUCUUAGAGCAGAGCAGCCGUCGAGGGCAGGGCAGUGGGAACCUGUCGCCACCCCGCCUGGCUCCUCAGGCACCAGCUCGCAGCCCGAGGUGGGAGGCCCGGUCGCCUCCCGCUGCCCUUGGUCUCCCCUCCUGCCCAUCUGACUUGGGUCCCGCAGAUGGCCUGGGCACCUGGGCGCACCCCCUGCCCACCCUGGCCGGCUGUCCUGCCCAGUGGCCGCCCCGGGUUCACAGAGCGCCCCGUCCCGUGGGGUGCAGGUGGGCGAGUGCUGGCUGGGGCCUCGGAGGAGCUGUCCCCGCAGCUGCCCAUUGCCCUCCCGGGAUCAGGGGCCAGGGAAGGAAGACUGGCUCGCUCCCUCCUGCUUUUCUUUUUGGAUCAUUGAGAUGUCAUUGUCACAAUUUUAAUAUAUGGGUUUUUUAUUUAAGACAAAAGGCAGGGACGUCUUUGUGGCGUGGGUUUGUCCUCCUGUGCUUCUGACUCACGAGUCCCUGACACCCGCAGGGCCUGGCCCCCCGGGGGACGGGGCCUCCCCUUCGUAAGCUCGGCACCCACCGGUUUUCCCCGCCUCUGCCUGCCCAGCAGUUUCAUUUCAAUAUUUAUUUUUGUGCUGCUUUUAUCAUGAUAUAAAUUAUUGAGAAGAGACCUUAUGUCGUGGCCCACACCUGCCCUGUCCCCUCACGGCCACCACCUAAUUUAUUGCUGUACAUCUCUGCUGUGACGCUUUUGUACCUUUGCAAUAAAGACUUUUCUGGUUUCA
rnacentral:lncRNA from 1 species